ACAUUGUGAUAUCAGAGUCUCCAUUCUUUUUCACAUACCCAUGGGUCCUCUCUGAGCCAAUAUCAUGAAGGAGGUUAUGAAAAUAACAACAUGACAGUCAGGAUGAUGACAGCUUGAGGGAGUUUGUGAAGUGGUCAAAUGAAAAAGAAUGGGAGACUCAAUAUCAUCUCUUGGACAGAAGUAAGCUGUUCCAAGACAUGGAAAGUCCUCAGAGGAGCAGACUGGAAAUGCAGUGAAAAAAUUAGAGAGGAAACCAGUGUGGGGACAUAAAACUCUCCAGAGAGGUGACUGCUAUAGCUUGGAUCUGAAAUAUCCCACAAAGACCUAAGUGUUAAAGCUGCAUGAAGUGAGAAGCUUACUCCAUCACAUGUCUCCCACCGUGAUCUACUGCCUCACCACAGACCCAGAAACAACAUGGCCUAGGAACCAUGUCCUGAAAUCUCUACAACUGGAAUGGUCCAUCUCCAGCCAUCCAACUCACCAACUGAUGUCCAUCUUUCUCAGCUCCACAGUGAAUCAUCAGGCUGAUACAACCUCUACGUUAUCUAUGGAACAACCAUUUCCUCUACCUUCAUCCUCACCUGGGUGUUCCAGAAAACUCUUAACCGGUUUCCUAUUCCUAGCAUCUUUUUCU
rnacentral:lncRNA from 1 species